rnacentral:lncRNA from 1 species
UCAUCAACAACACACUAACCCAGAAAAAAUAAUCUUUUUCAUCAUCUUUAUCAAAUCUAUAAACAUAAUCAAUUUCAUAACUCAAUCAACAACCAAUUUGUUCACUAAAAAAAUCACUUUAAUUUACCAAACAAUAUUUUUUUUUUAAAUCCAAAUCCAAAACCACAACACUGCUAUGCUUCUCUAAAGAUAUCAAUGAACUAAUACCUUCACCUUAUAACUACUCAUCCAAUCGUAAAAUUUCAGCUUUCAACUGUUCAAUCUUAAGAUCCAUGGAUCUCUGCAAAUAACCUUUCUUCUUUCUCCUUCUACUACUUGACCCAUUACUGCAAUUUCCUAGAUUUGGCUAGGAUCGAGUAAAGAGGAAUUGAUAGAGGGAGAGAGGUCGAGUGGAAUUAGAAGGGUGUAUACAUCAUCAAAAUUUCUUAGAGGCUUGUUGCUUCUGUUAACCCAUAUUGUUUCCAUCCCUGGAUUUUUUUUCUUUUUCAAUAUGUUGCUUCAAUUCAUUCACUCUGGUUUUAUGGGUUUCUUUGUCAACCCUAAUUCUUUAAGCUCAUUUUACUCUUCAAUUGAUGCAUGAUUUUCAAAAUUGAUGGAUGCAUUUUGGUUCUACAUGGCUACAAUUGAGAUAGUGAGUGAGACUUUGUUGUUGGAAUAGAAAUGAGGAAGAAGGAAUUAGUGAGGUGGAGAGGUAAAGGGGUGUUUGUGCUUGUUGGUGACUCUUAGAAGGAGAGGUCACAGAUGAAUAAUGAAGUUGGGAUUCCUUCAAAAUUAUCACUGUAGAUUUUGGAUUGAAAAAAAUUUGUGGUGAGUAGAUAUGAAGAUUUUGGAUGAUUUGGUUUAGAGAGAUUGAUAAAUUGUGUUGUUUAGAUUGAAA